AAGAAGGUGUCAGAAUGGUUAUGUGGUUGGCUUGAAACCAGCUCACGGGGGUUCAAUUCCUCCCCUUCUCG
rnacentral:tRNA from 1 species